UGGGGAAUAUUGGACAAUGGGCGCAAGCCUGAUCCAGCCAUGCCGCGUGAGUGAUGAAGGCCCUAGGGUUGUAAAGCUCUUUCACCGGUGAAGAUAAUGACGGUAACCGGAGAAGAAGCCCCGGCUAACUUCGUGCCAGCAGCCGCGGUAAUACGAAGGGGGCUAGCGUUGUUCGGAUUUACUGGGCGUAAAGCGCACGUAGGCGGACUUUUAAGUCAGGGGUGAAAUCCCGGGGCUCAACCCCGGAACUGCCUUUGAUACUGGAAGUCUUGAGUAUGGUAGAGGUGAGUGGAAUUCCGAGUGUAGAAGUGACAUUCGUAGAUAUUCGGAGGAACACCAGUGGCGAAGGCGGCUCACUGGACCAUUACUGACGCUGAGGUGCGAAAGCGUGGGGAGCAAACAGG
rnacentral:rRNA from 1 species